rnacentral:misc_RNA from 1 species
AAUCAUUUAUUAAAUAAAAGAAUUUAUUUACAUUUUUUCCGGAAUCCUAUAACAAAGUUAGUGCAAAACAAGUAUUUUGAUUCUAAAACAAAGAAACCGAAAAAGAACAAAAGAAAGCAAUUUCUUUUUCUUUCUAUAAUUUUCUUAUAUAGAUGAAAAAUCCAUAAAGCUCUCUUGCUCUGUCUCUCAACCAUCAAGAAUAAAACGAAAAAGAACUAGUGACCAGGGCCUCUGGGGCUGGGUCCUGACGAUAGGCGUUCAAGCCAACAUGCCAUGGUAUUCUUUGCCUUCUCAUAGACAGACGAGUAAGUCUCCAGAUGAUUUGCAGUGGCAAAAUCCUCUGGCAACACCCUAGUCGCCUCCACACUAACCUGGCACAAAACAGCCACCAAGAUAAAGAAAAUGGCCAGAACAGUGGUUGACUUGCUGAAACUCAUCAUCUUUUUCCAAAAUGCACUGCACUUGCUGGCUGGAAGGAAAGAACUUAAUUUUCUGUAUACGCAGAAAGAGAGAGAAAGAACUUCUGCUAGAGUGGCUGCUUUUGAGUGAUUGUCGAUGAAUG